ACGGGGUGCAGCAGGCGCGAAAACUUCACAAUGUGGGAAACCGCGAUGAGGGGAUUCCAAGUGCCAGCACACUGUGUUGGCUGUUCACCUGCCUAAAAAGCUGGUGAAGUAAGGGCCGGGUAAGACGGGUGCCAGCCGCCGCGGUAAUACCCGCGGCCCGAGUGGUGGUCGUUGUUAUUGAGCCUAAAGCGUCCGUAGCCGGUUUGGUAAAUUUCUGGGUAAAUCGGGCGGCUUAACUGUCCGAAUUCCGGAAAGACUGCCAAACUUGGGACCGGGGGAGGUUGGAGGUACUCCUGGGGUAGGGGUGAAAUCCUGUAAUCCUGGGGGGACCACCAGUGGCGAAGGCGUCCAACCAAAACGGAUCCGACGGUAAAGGGACGAAGCCCUGGGGCGCAAACGGGAUUAGAUACCCCGGUAGUCCAGGGUGUAAACGCUGCAGGCUUGGUGUUGGGGGUCCUACGAGGGCGCCCAGUGCCGGAGAGAAGUUGUUAAGCCUGCCGCUUGGGAGUACGUCCGCAAGG
rnacentral:rRNA from 1 species